rnacentral:rRNA from 1 species
CAGGGUUAUAGCCACCCCUAUCUCAUCUGACCUCAGAAGCUAUGAAGGGUUGGGCCUUAUUAUACUUGGAUGGGAGACCUACAGGUGCUCUAAGCUUUGGCUCAGU